UACGAAGGGGGCUAGCGUUGCUCGGAAUUACUGGGCGUAAAGCGCACGUAGGCGGCUUUCUAAGUCGGGGGUGAAAUCCUGGAGCUCAACUCCAGAACUGCCUUCGAUACUGGAGAGCUCGAGUCCGGGAGAGGUGAGUGGAACUGCGAGUGUAGAGGUGAAAUUCGUAGAUAUUCGCAAGAACACCAGUGGCGAAGGCGGCUCACUGGCCCGGUACUGACGCUGAG
rnacentral:rRNA from 1 species